rnacentral:lncRNA from 1 species
UUCUAUUUGUGCUAUGUUAUCUCUUCUACUAGUUUUCUACAGCAUGAUUUACGUGCCUAUCUUAUGUGUGUUCCUUUAGUAUCUUUUUUCUUACUGAGUUUGUUUGAGUUGUAAACCUAUUCCAUCUACUGUAGCUUAAGUUCUAUAUCACCUCUUUUCUCUCCUGAACUUGCUUGAGUUUUGAGCUUUUAUUAAACUUGUUCUUUUUUAUUUUUUCACCCUGUUGAUUCAAACUUGCUAUUGUAUCUGUGUGCUUCUUCAUGAG